GGUUAUGGCUCAGUGGUAGAGCUCUUGCCUUGCAAAUGUGAGUCAGUGGGUUCAAUCCCCACACCA
rnacentral:tRNA from 1 species